rnacentral:rRNA from 1 species
UACAGAGGGGGCGAGCGUUGUUCGGAAUUACUGGGCGUAAAGGGCGCGUAGGCGGCCUCUUAAGUCGAACGUGAAAUCCCCGGGCUCAACCCGGGAACUGCGUCCGAUACUGGGGGGCUUGAAUCCGGGAGAGGGAUGCGGAAUUCCAGGUGUAGCGGUGAAAUGCGUAGAUAUCUGGAGGAACACCAGAGGCGAAGGCGGCCUACUGGGCUGCACCUGACGCUGAGCCGCGAAAGCCAGGGGAGCGAACGGG